rnacentral:lncRNA from 1 species
AGAGAGGCGGAGGAGAAACGGUUAAAAUGGAGCUGUCAGGGAGGACAGUAAAGUGUGCAGGGACUUCUCCUCAGGGCCCUUGAAGCUAAUUUUCAAUACUUUUGUUGCGCGAGUCUUCUUCCUGUUCAGUGUUCACAGAAGAAGAGUGUGGACUGGCUUUUCCUUUUCGCCAUCUGUUUGUUGCCGCAGGACAGUGUGGGGACUAGAUUCCGAGGUGUGUUUUUUAGUGUAAACGUUUGUAGAGCUCUGAGUUUCAUGUCUUCCUGUUUUGUGUCACUUCUCCCGGUGACAACAGUAGACGCUCCUCUCCUGUUUUUCAGGUUCAAGCUCUCUUUCUGGGCUCUUUUUCCAUGACUCCACUUUCUGUUCCUGCUCUUGCUACGAGCAUGUCUCUCCCUUCCUCUUUCUGUGUCUCUACACCCCCCCUCCUCCCCCUCCUCCUCCUCCCUUCUUUUUCUCUCCUUCCCUCUUGGCAGUUGUGCCAAAGUGGGCAGGCAGACGGAGGCAAACACAUGACAGGGCAGAGCAGAGGGCGAUCUGAAGGCUGGCAAAUUGAUUUUGUGUGUGUGUGUGUGUGUGUGUGUGUGCGUUUUUUGAUCGUACUAACUACGUCCCUCUGUCACCCGUGUACGAAGAGACGCACUCACGCCAGGAGGAGGGGAUUGUGGGAAGGGGGUGUCGCUCUGAGAGGGUGUGCUCUACUCCUCUUUUCCAUUCUUCCCGCCAUCACUGCCCUCUUCUCCUUCAGUCCUCGGGCCCGGGGGCCGCCGCUCACAUACAGACUGCAGGAAAGUUACCUUUGUGGAUCAUUGGAGCGAACAACGUAGAUGCUGUCCUUGGGGCUGAGGAGACAGCUGAGCCAGCUGAUCAACGACAGCCUCAAAUUACACAUGAAGUCAAACGGCCGUAUGCAGAUGAUGAAAAGAUGAUGACGUGUUUGACCCGGGCUCUGGCAGGAUGAGGUAGUAGGUUGUAUAGUUUGGUGGGUGGGAUUUGAACCCUGCUCAGGUGAUAACUAUACAGUCUAUUGCCUUCCCUGAGGAGGUCACUGCACAGCCGUUUUCACGUCUCAACAUACAGUAUAGAAAAAGUAGAAGCAGAAUACAUGUAUUUUAAAUUCUUUGCCUUUUCACGUGUGGUUGAUUUUGAUUUGACAAAAUAUGUAAGAUAAUUUGCUUUAAAUAGAAAACAUAGAAAUAAACACUGAAAAAAUGUUUUCCUGUAAUAAAAA